GGAAACUUGGCAGAGAUGGAUUAAUGCGACGGUCCUGAAAACCGUUGGGUUUAAAAAGCCCCGUGGGUUCGAAUCCCACAGUUUCCUCCA
rnacentral:tRNA from 1 species